AAUGAACGCCGGCGGCGUGCUUAACACAUGCAAGUCGAACGGUGAAGCAGGAGCUUGCUCCUGUGGAUCAGUGGCGAACGGGUGAGUAACACGUGAGCAAUCUGCCCUGGACUCUGGGAUAAGCGUUGGAAACGACGUCUAAUACCGGAUACGAGGCGUGGGGGCAUCCCCAACGCCUGGAAAGAACUUCGGUCCAGGAUGAGCUCGCGGCCUAUCAGGUAGUUGGUGAGGUAACGGCUCACCAAGCCUACGACGGGUAGCCGGCCUGAGAAGGUGACCGGCAACACUGGGAGUGAGACACGGCGCAGACUGCUACGGGAGGCAGGAGUGGGGAAUAUUGCACAAUGGGCGCGAGACUGAUGCAGCAACGCAGCGUGAGGGACGACGGCCUUCGGGUUGUAAACCUAUUUUAGCAGGGAAGAAGCGAAAGUGACGGUACCUGCAGAAGAAGCACCGGCUAACUACGUGCCAGCAGCCGCCGUAACAC
rnacentral:rRNA from 1 species